UGGGGAAUAUUGCACAAUGGGGGAAACCCUGAUGCAGCAACGCCGCGUGAGUGAUGACGGCUUUCGGGUUGUAAAGCUCUGUCUUCAGUGACGAUACUGACGGUACCUGAGGAGGAAGCCACGGCUAACUACGUGCCAGCAGCCGCGGUAAUACGUAGGUGGCAAGCGUUGUCCGGAUUUACUGGGCGCAACGGGAGCGUAGGCGGACUUUUAAGUGAGAUGUGAAAUACCCGGGCUCAACCUGGGUGCUGCAUUUCAAACUGGAAGUCUAGAGUGCAGGAGAGGAAGGUUGAAUUCCUAGUUGAGCAGGGAAAUGCGUAGAGAUUAGGAAGAGCACCAGUGGCGAAGGCGACUCUCUGGAC
rnacentral:rRNA from 1 species